UUAUGGUGUCAAUUUCUUUUCUUCAUUGACAUAAAGUAUUUGGUUUUCUGAGUCAUCAUACCUUCUACCUCAUGUGUACAGUCAAGUCGGUUAUGCUCGUGCACACAAAAGUCGGUAAUGCUCGUGCGAAUCCCAGAGUUUUUUACAUCUUUUUGGUGGAUUUAAUAUAACGAAGCUAGAACGUAUAUUGAAAAUGUUCUUCUCAAUAUUAUGAGUUGUAUUUAAUAGUGACAAUAUAAAACAGUACUUGUGCAUAAAAUUUUGAACUUCUUACUUACAAAUUCGAAAACAAAACAAAUAUUUUUGCUUUCAUUUAGAAAGUUGGUUGAAAAUUCAAACAAAAGUUAAGAACUAGCUGAAAUUAUUGGAGGAUUGUUUUUUUUUUUUUUUUUUUUCACGAUGAGAUACAAAGAUAAAUCUUAGUACGAAUCGGCAAAAGCCGAGUUGCGAAUAUCGAUACAGUGUGGCACACACGUGUUAACAUAUGAGAAAACACGCUUCCUUGUUCGAGCUUGUCUUACCAGGAAGUCUGCUUUGGUGUUACUGGAUCUGCUCUUGUAGACCACUUGUCCAUCUUGGUAGGACGCCCAUACAGUUUUAAACUCGUCAAGUUCAGUUGCAAAGGCCGGCCAGUCUUCAGGUGUAGCGAUCAUUUUGACUAGCUCUUGAGAGUCAGUAACAAAAUAAUUGCAGUAACGCUGAAAGCGAAGUAAACAUUUCAGAGCCCAUAUCAAACUUUUUAGUUCAGUAUGAAGCGGUGAGAUUUGUCUAUGGCAUCCUUGGAGCCCCAAGAUA
rnacentral:lncRNA from 1 species